GAUGAACGCUAGCGGGAGGCCUAACACAUGCAAGCCGAGCGGUAUUGUUUCUUCGGAAAUGAGAGAGCGGCGUACGGGUGCGUAACACGUGUGCAACCUGCCUUUAUCUGGGGGAUAGCCUUUCGAAAGGAAGAUUAAUACUCCAUAACAUAUUGAACGGCAUCGUUUAAUAUUGAAAGCUCCGGCGGAUAGAGAUGGGCACGCGCAAGAUUAGCUAGUUGGUGAGGUAACGGCUCACCAAGGCGAUGAUCUUUAGGGGGCCUGAGAGGGUGAUCCCCCACACUGGUACUGAGACACGGACCAGACUCCUACGGGAGGCAGCAGUGAGGAACAUUGGUCAAUGGGUGCAAGCCUGAACCAGCCAUCCCGCGUGAAGGACGACUGCCCUAUGGGUUGUAAACUUCUUUUGUAUAGGGAUAAACCUACCCUCGAGAGGGUAGCUGAAGGUACUAUACGAAUAAGCACCGGCUAACUCCGUGCCAGCCGCCGCCGUAACAC
rnacentral:rRNA from 1 species